rnacentral:lncRNA from 12 species
CAGCACUCUGCAGUGGGAGAAGUGGGAGAAACUAAGCUACAUCCUGCAAGACUGAAGAUGGAGAGGAGGAAGCUUGCGCCUUCUCACUGAACUUAAGCUUCCCUGCCAUGGGGGAACUGGUGGAAAAAGUCCAAAAGAGUCCUCCAGGUGUGAAGUCUGAUGUCAGUCAGCUUCAGAGAAAUGACACCAGCUGAGGAUCUGCAAGCAAGUCUCAGGUCUGUACCAAUCUCAUAGAUCAGCACUUUUCUCUGUAGAGUCACUUUUUCCUUGCAUGGAAUCAUGAUUUGCA